CCAUCUGACAUUAGAUAUUAUUAUUAUUGUUGUUGUUGACAUUUUGCCUCUUUGCCUUUGCAGUAGGUCACUAAAGAAGCAGUUCCUUGAAAAACUGAAUUUCUAUUGUCUCUGUCAGAAAAAAAUCAUUCAUUAGCAGGAGAAGAACAGCAAGAGAUCAAUCACAUAAUCUUGAGAAGGUCUAGCAUGGCGGAUGCUGCGGCUACUGGUCCAGGAAGCACAUUUUGAGAACCACUCAGCUAGAAGAUUAUUGCAUUCAUCCAGGCCUUCAACAGAUUGGACGCUGCCCACCCACAUCGGGGAGGGCCACCUGCUUUUCUCAGUCCACGAAUUCAAAUGCUGCUGUCUUCCAGAAACACCUUCACAGACACAUCCAUUAUAUAUUAAAUACAAUGUGUUGCUAAAUAUCUGGGCAUCCUGUGGCCCAAUCAAGUUGACACACAGAAUUCACCACUACAGGAGUCAGGGUUAAAAUGAUUGGAUGAUUAUCUUGAGAUCAGCGGGUCAGCUCCCAGGUUUUGAAAUUGAGUGACACGGUAGGAAAUGCCCAAACCAGGUAUCUCAGGAAACACAGGAUAAGUUUGAUGAAGAGAAGACAGAGCUUCUGCUUUGGGCACAUAAAGUUAAGAUGCAAAUCGUGGUUUGGGUUUUUAUUGUAGAAACCCAGGCAGCAGUUUGGAAGAUUGGUCUGGAGUACUAAAGAGAGAUUUAUCUAGAGAGAGACUUGACAGUCAUUGGCAUUUGGGCUGGGUGAAUCCACAGAUCCUUUAAGGAGAACGAUGUGAGAGACUGGGAGAAGGAGAGAAAUCUGAACAUUCAAGUCACUGAGAACGAAGUGGCAGUGGAGAGAAGAGCAGCAAUCACAGAAAUGGAGCAAUGAGGAAGGAAGGAGGGGAUGGCAUCUGUGCCAAAAGUCAGCGGGAGGGCAUGCAGGAGAAGGAUGGGAAGUGUCUACAACUCUCAUGAUUCUGGGUAAAACUGGAGUCCUGUGUUCUAGUAGUCUCAAUAGAGGGAAGAAGGUGGAAGCUAGAUUUUAAAUGGGGUUGAGCCAGAAGGGAAGUUAGGAGGGAAAUGAAACUAUUUUUAGAAAUUUGGCUAUGAAGAAGACUUGAGGUGGAUAGCUCUCUAUCUUUUAAGGUGAAAAUCAUGCAAUUUUGUUUAUAUCUCGAGAGAAAGAGGCUGUGAGUGUUGCUGGAGGGCUCGGGAAGGUCUCUGGAUGCCAGUGAGACCCCAGCCCCAGCCGGUUUUCCAGGUUCUUGACAGCAUCACAAGAACGAAUUCAGGGGGGAGUCGAGUCAGAAUGAAGCGCAAGGCGAGAAGCUUCCAUUGCAAAGCGAAAGUGUGCUCUUGAGAGGAGCGUAGCCAUGCCCGUGAGAACAAGUCAGGCACAACGGAGGCUGGGUUUCUUAUUUUAGGGAUGUUUCUUUCUCUUUCUUUCUUUCUAUUUCUUUCUUUCUUUCUUUCUUUCUUUCUUUCUUUCUUUCUUUCUUUCUUUCUUUCUUUCUUUCCUUUCUUUCUUUCUUUCUUCUUUCUUUCUUUCUUUCUGUCUUUUUUUUUUGAGACGGAGUCUCUCUUUCGCCCAGGCUGGAGUUCAGUGGCGCGAUCUCGGCUCACUGCAAGCUCCGCCUCCCGGGUUCACGCCAUUCUCCUGCCUCAGCCUCCCGAGUAGCGGGGACUACAGGCGCCGGCCACCACACCCGGCUGAUAUUUUGUAUUUUUUAGUAGAGACAGGGUUUCACCGUGUUAGCCAGGAUGGUCUCGAUCUCCUGACCUCCUGAUCUGCCUGCCUCAUCCUCCCAAAGUGCUGGGAUUACAGGUGUGAGCCACCGCGCCCAGCCCGGAUGUUUCUUUAAUAAGGGGGUGGAAUGCUCAUUAGGUAUUCUGGAAAAGGAGGGGAUUUCAGGGACUCCUCCCCGCUCCUGUUAUUGCCUCCUUUCUCCCUUAUUUGGGUUUACCUGGAAGAGUCAUGGACAUGUCACCCUGACCAGGGUUUUGGUCAUUUUCUCUGCCUUAUUUUGGGCUUUCUCUACCCUGUGGAUUAUUUGCCUAGCCCCUGCUUCAGGGGUUCUUUGGGUUUGUCCAUACUCCUGCAACUACCCGUGCUAUUCCUAUCUCCUUAGAGGAGGAGAGAUUGACGAUAUCGAAGAGAAAUUACUCUGCUCUGUGGAUCUCAUUGGCACAGGUUCCUGCUGAAGUCUGAGGGGAAAAGGGGAUUCUGGAAGGCGGAGAAAUGGAUGGAUCCUGUGGAGAGGCCAGACAGCUUCCGAGCAGCUGAGAAAGAAGGAAGUCAGCCAAGGUCUGAAAGAAGAGAGAUAGAUGCUGGAGAGCAUUUAAAUGAAAAGAAUUUAACCAGAAGUAUCGGCAGAAGUAAAAGAAAAGCCAUGUUGGGGGAACCUAAAGAUUAGCCACAAAGGUUAAGGGAAAGGAGGGAGGAGAGGAGACGUUACUGCAGCCUGUGAAGGCCAGAGCAAGAGGCGUGGCCGUGGAAAGUGCAGGAAGUAUGGCUAUGGAGAGUGCUGGGGUGUGGCUGUGGUGGGUGCAGGAAGCGUGGCUGUGGAGCGGGUGUGGUUAUGGACGGAGUGUGGCUGUGGAGGGGGUGUGACUGUGGAGGGUGCUGAGUGUGGCUGUGGUGGGUGCUGGGGGUGUGGCUGUGGUAGGGGAGGUGUGGCUAUUGGAUAGUCACAGCUGUGGUGGGUGCAGGGGGCAAGGCUGUGGUGUAGGAAGUGUAGUGUGGCUAUUGAAUGGGGUGUAUAGCAGUGGUGAAUACAGGAGGCAUGGCCUUGGUGGGUACAGGAGGCAUGGCUAUAACACAGGAGGCAUGGCCUUGGUGGGUGCAGGAAGCAUAGCUGUGAUGCAAGAAGCAUGGCCUUGGUGAGUGCUGGAGUAUGUUCUCUAAAGACACUGUGAACACUAUUAGCCCAUACUGAACCACUGCUCCUGGAGAAAUACAGGGUUAGCUUCCACGCCUCUGAUCACUACAUUUUUGUCAUCCAACCAAUACAUAUUUUUGUUUUAUGUGUUUUUAUCUACAGACACCUUGUUUAAUAUACGUUUCUUACCAAUAGUUAACUGUAUGUAUUAUUCUUUAUAAUAAAACUCAAGCUGGGAAGAGUUUUGCGUUUUCCUGACCUUGGGUAAUGUGACUAAAAAUUUAUUUGGCUGUCAGCCUCACAACAAUGCUGUCCACUAAACUUUUUUUUUUUUAGAUGGAGUCUCGCUCUGUCGCUCAGGCUGGGGUGCAGUGGUGCAAUCUUGGCUCACUGCAACCUCCACCUCCCGGGUUCAAGAGAUUCUCC
rnacentral:lncRNA from 1 species